UUUACCUACGGGGGGCAGCAGUGGGGGAUAUUGCACAAUGGGGGGAACCCUGAUGCAGCGACGCCGCGUGGGUGAAGGAGCGUUUCGGCGCGUAAAGCCCUAUCGGCAGGGAAGAAGAUGACGGUACCUGGCCAAGAAGCCCCGGCUAACUACGUGCCAGCAGCCGCGGUAAUACGUAGGGGGCAAGCGUUAUCCGGAUUUACUGGGUGUAAAGGGAGCGUAGACGGCCAGACAAGUCUGAAGUGAAAAUCCAGCGCUUAACGUUGGAAGUGCUUU
rnacentral:rRNA from 1 species